rnacentral:misc_RNA from 1 species
GAUGAAGAACGCAGCGAAAUGCGAUAAGUAAUGUGAAUUGCAGAAUUCAGUGAAUCAUCGAAUCUUUGAACGCACCUUGCACCCUUUGGACUGCUCCAAAGGGUAUGCUCGUUUGAGUGUCAUUGUACUCUCACACUCUCUGAUCCUUUGGAUUUGGGGAGCAGUGGACUUGGGUGCUUGCUGCUUCCUUGUGGCUCACCUGAAAUGCAUCAGUGCAUCUCUCGAUUGGACAUAGUACGGCGUGAUAAGUGUCUUCGCCGGCACCUCAUAUGAGGGUGGCCGAUCGGGAGCUCUGUGCUUUCAAACCGUCUUCGGACAACGCUGACAACUUGACCUCUAAUCGAGUAGGACUACCCGCUGAACUUAAGCAUAUCAAUAAGCGGAGGA